rnacentral:rRNA from 1 species
UACGGAAGGCAGCAGUGGGGAAUAUUGCACAAUGGGCGCAAGCCUGAUGCAGCCAUGCCGCGUGUAUGAAGAAGGCCUUCGGGUUGUAAAGUACUUUCAGUCGUGAGGAAGGUGUUAAGGUUAAUAACCUUAGCAAUUGACGUUAGCGACAGAAGAAGCACCGGCUAACUCCGUGCCAGCAGCCGCGGUAAUACGGAGGGUGCGAGCGUUAAUCGGAAUUACUGGGCGUAAAGGGCACGCAGGCGGUUAAUUAAGUUGGAUGUGAAAUCCCCGGGCUUAACCUGGGAAUGGCAUUCAAGACUGGUUAGCUAGAGUCUUGUAGAGGGGGUAGAAUUCCAUGUGUAGCGGUGAAAUGCGUAGAGAUGUGGAGGAAUACCGGUGGCGAAGGCGGCCCCUGGGACAAAGGCUGACGCUCAUGUGCGAAGCGUGGGGAGCAAAC